rnacentral:rRNA from 1 species
CGUAGGUGGCAAGCGUUGUCCGGAUUUAUUGGGUUUAAAGGGUGCGUAGCGGCUUUGUAAGUCAGUGGUGAAAUACUCCAGCUCAACUGGAGAGGUGCCAUUGAUACUGCAGAGCUAGAGUACUGAUGAGGUAGGCGGAAUGGACGGUGUAGCGGUGAAAUGCUUAGAUAUCGUCCAGAACACCGAUAGCGAAGGCAGCUUACUAAAGAGUAACUGACGCUGAGGCACGAAAGUGUGGGGAUCAAACAGGAUUAGAUACCCUGGUAGUCCACACUGUAAACGUUGAUCACUAGAUGUUGGCGAUACACUGCCAGCGUUCCAGCAAAAGCGAUAAGUGAUCCACCUGGGGAGUACGCCCGCAAGGGUG